GUUUUUUAAGGGUUCAAAUUUGUCCACAGGGCUGCAGGCUUUGUUCUCCGUGUCUCGGUCUUGCUGCUGGCUCACAAGUCUGACAGUGCUCCGUAGCUCCUCAGGGAGGUCAUCAACGGGUCUUGUUUUGAAGAUAUGGACGACAUCAAGAUGGCCGUAACGAUGGACCUGUGGAGGAUCCUGGAAGAAUGCUACGAGGAGUGCAUGAAGAUGUGACAGAGAAUGCUGGGAAAGUGUUAUAAACUCCAGGGUAAUUACUCCGAAGGGGAAAACUUGUAGUUUGUAGCCUUAAAUGUUUUUUUUUUUUUGUAUUUGUUUGUUUUUUUGAAUUCUGAGGUGGAGAUGGCUCUGAUAUACCCGUAUAGUGAAAUACACAGGAUAAUUAAUUAUCGACCUGCGGAAGAAGCAUUUCCUUGUUCUGCCUGUCACUGGCAUCGAUAGAUGCACAAAGAUAAAUUAUUUGUUGUAAAUAAAUCAUCAUUUUCGGAACAAUUAAGUGACUCUUUCACGACACACUAAUGUGCCAUGGAACAGUGGUUAGGGAUUAUUCGAAUAAUUAACCUUUGUAGGGCCCUAUUGAUUGUAGGGACCUAGUUGGGGCAGUUAUGAGAAUACUUUUAACCCUAUAAAAUUGGUAUAGUGCAUUACAAAACUUUUUUUUAAUGAUUCUUAUUUCGUUAUACAUUUUGUCAUUGAAUGAGAAAACUCACAUGGUUUAAAAUGUCCAUUUUCCCUUAAAUUUAAGCUAGCAAAUAUGCUUCCUUGCUGAAGCCAACUUGAUUAAAAGGUGCGUCUCAAUACUUUUGUCCAUAUAGUGUUGAUUGUUUGCACUCAGAGUGGGCGAGUAGGCUGACAGAAUUCUUCACAGAAAGGUAAGUAAUAUACAUUGAUCCUGCGUGUGUGUGUGUCUUUGUGUUUUAUCGAUCUUUCUUGCAGACCUAAAGCUAUGACCAGGAAAUGAUCCAAUCAGCCAGAACGGCCUUUCUUUGAGUGCUGCCUCUGUGAUGAGAUUGAGAGGACUGCAUGGUUUCAAGCCAUCCAUCCAUCCAUCCAUCCAUUUUCUGAGCCGCUUCUCCUCACUAGGGUCGCGGGCGUGCUGGAGCCCAUCCCAGCUGUCAUCGGGCAGGAGGCGGGGUACACCCUGAACUGGUUGCCAGCCAAUCGCAGGGCACAUAGGAACAAACAACCAUUCGCACUCACAGUCAUGCCUACGGGCAAUUUAGAGUCUCCAAUUCAUGUAUGUUUUUGGGAUGUGGGAGGAAACCGGAGUACCCGGAGAAAACCCACGCAGGGACGGGGAGAACAUGCAAACUCCACACAGGCGGGGCCGGGGAUUGAACCCGGGUCCUCAGAACUGUGAGGCUGACGCUCUAACCAGUCGGACACCGUGCCGCCGGUUUCAAGCCAGCACAAUUAUUUUAAAUGAA